rnacentral:sRNA from 1 species
UUUUAUAAUGUUAAAUAAAAGAUAGUAUCUACAUAAAAUUAUAAAUAUUCAUAAAAGCAGUGUUCUGAAAAGCAGUUUAGGCGGUCGUCUAUGCCCUACGCUCUCACGCGAAGCCUAGACGAACGUUUUGACCGCCUAAAAUUAUAUAUGCUUCGUUUCAAUAUAUUUUUCUAAAUUUUAACUACUCAAAUUUAAAUUUGUUAAGUUUUAUCUUCAUAUACAUAGUUUUAAAUGUUUAACGCCUAGCAUUUUCUUAAACAAUCCAGGUUAUGGGCUUAUAGCAUCAUCCAAUUAUUAGUCUUCAUUCUCUCACUUAUUUUAUGAGAGAGGAUGAUAUAUAUGUAGAUUA